rnacentral:rRNA from 1 species
GACAGAGGUCCCGAGCGUUAGGCGGAAUCACUGGGCUUAAAGCGUGUGUAGGCGGACGCCUAAGUACCUUGUGAAAUCCCACGGCUCAACCGUGGAACUGCUCGGUAUACUGGGUGUCUUGAGCCACUUAGGGGCUACCGGAACAAAUGGUGGAGCGGUGAAAUGCGUAGAUAUCAUUUGGAACGCCAAUGGUGAAAACAGGUAGCUGGGAGUGUGCUGACGCUGGAGACACGAAAGCCAGGGGAGCAAACGGG